AUCCAGCCGUUGAGUUUGAAAUAGGAGGAAACGAGCGUCCUGGAU
rnacentral:hammerhead_ribozyme from 1 species